UCUUUGGUGUCUAGUCCCUUGUCUCAUGUCUAAUGUAACCUGCCAUUUUCCUUUACAGGUAGGAGCAACGGUGGGAAUGCCCUCUGAGGAAUGCAGUGAUGUCCAUCAGUCACCUCUCACCCAGAGCCUGGCAAAUUCAGUCUCUUUCACAGAACCUAAAGCCAAGCCAGUAAAAGGGGGGUUGAGGGGGUGGAGAGACCAAGCUGGGGCAGGGGGGUAUAGAGCUCCAAUAGCACGUUUUCACCUGCCAUUUAAUUGGAUGUAUUUUUAAUUAAUGGGACCUCAGGGACCAACAUGAGACAAUCUGAUAUCUGAAUAGGGACAGGGGAGGGAUUGGGUAAGGGAGGAGGAUUGGGCCACUGGGUGCGGUUACCGGGAACCCAGGCCCAUCAAUCACUGGCCACUUUGCGUUCUGGCAUGGAGAAUAGCGAGGUGGAGGAAGGGAGGCACUGGGGAGAGGUGCCAGGAUUUCCCCCCAACUGCCAGGACCUCCAAACGGAUUGGAACUAUACUGGUUGACUCAGGUCUGGAGCCCAAAAUCACAGCCAGAAUAUAAGGUGAGGCUGUUUUCUUGCUCCUGGGGUUUUGUCUGGUUGGGCUUGUCCCAGGGAGUGCUGUAAAAUUGUGAAAGGAAGGUGGGGACAGAGCUUUGAGGUCCUUGUAGAGAGAAGACAAGAGCUAUGGACCAUAGAACCAGAGACUAUGGAGAGACGGAGGAGAAGGGCAGGGUUCAGAGGUAUUUCUGUAUGUUUUGACAUAAAAUAAGUGCCAUGGAGAUUACAUGCAAAAUGGCAUGCAAAUGAGGCCUGGUGCCUUUUGGGGUAUGAAUCGUAGAACCUUGCUUUUGCAAGAAAGGGAACUUGGCCAGGUGCGGUGGCUCACGCCUAUAAUCCCAGCACUUUGGGAGGCCGAAGCAGGUGGAUCACUUGAGGCCAGGAGUUCGAGACCAGCCUGGCCAACAUGGUGAAACGCCAUCUCUACCAAAAAAUACAAAAAAAUUAUCUGGGCAUGGUGAUGUGUGCCUGUAAUCCCACCUACUUGGGAGGCAUGUGAAAAACAAGACCCAGAGAGGGGAAAUCAUUUGAAUCCUGUCCUGGUAUUGCUUUGUGUUCCUGGAUUUGGAGAAUUUCUGGGAACACAGGAAAAGGAAAGGUAGGUAGGUGUUGGGGGAGGAAAGUCAAGGGAAGAAGGUAUGCAGGAUAUUAUUCUCCAUUGCUUGAAGUCUCAAGUUUCUAUCCCCUGUCUUAGAAGCAACUUAGGGGAGUCAUGGACAGGUUCAGCUUCUAUGGAGCACUAUUAGGGGGACAUUUCCUCUAUACAGCUUGUUCCAGAGAUCAUCUUAUCCAUUUUCUUGCUUCCAAGUACACAAAUCCCCUACAGCCCCUGACCCCUAUGGAAUUUUACCAUGUCUUAUAAGAUCUACAGGGAAGGAAAUGCAUUAUUUACCCCACCUCCUUAACCAAGAAGCAAAUCCCCCAAUCAAGACUAAAUGCUGAGCUUUUUUUUGAAUGCCACCAGGAUCUGAACCCAAGAUUCCAGCCUCGGUCACCACCCUGACCCUGAGAAUGCCACUGGGAUGGGGAGAACUUGUCAGUCUUCAUCCUUCCCCACAAGUAUACUGAAGCCAGGACAGACAUCUUCUAGUUUGACACCUUGGGGUAGAUCCAAGAGACUGAGAAGAUGGAGGCAUCCUAGUCAUGGCCUCAACAAAGCUGGGGAAAGAAAAACUCCUUCUGUCCUCUCUUGACCUUUCAUGGAGGGGCACUGUGUGUUCUACUCACCAUCCUCACUGGAAACAGAAGAGAGGAAAAAGCAUCAGAUUUUAGCAGAAAGGAUAGAGGGAAGACAUAUGGAAAAACUUACUCAUGGGAUGAAAGACUUCAGAUUGGACCUGCUUCUCUUCUGAGAUUUUUCUUCUGCCUGCCGGUUUGUUUUUGUGUCUACCUAAGAGGCAUUGGAUGAAGCACAGUUACUUUUCCAGGCCUCUUCCAGACAGCCUCAGCACAGUUUCCAUACAGUGCACUGCUUCUUGGUUCUUCUAAAUGUCAUGUAGUAUGUGUGGUGGUUAGAUCACAAGUUUUGGAGACAGACAGCCCUGGGUUCCAGUGCCAUCUCUGCCACUUACCAGCUGUGCUACCUUGGUAAUUCACUUAACCUCUUUGAGUCCUAGUUUCCUUGUAAAAUGCAGAUGUUGCCCAGGCUGGAGUGCAAUGGUGCAGUCUCGGCUCACUGCAACCUCUGCCUCCUGGAUUCAAGUGAUUCUCCUGCCUCAGCCUCCCACGUAGCUGGGAUUAUAGGCGUGUGCCACCAUGCCUAGCUAAUUUUCGUUUUUUUAGUAGAGACGGGGUUUCAUCAUGUUGGCCAGGCUGGUCUUGAAUUCCUGACCUCAGGUGAUCCACCCACCUUGGCCUCCCAAAGUGUUGGGAUUACAGGUGUGAGCCACUGCGCCCGGCCUUCAUGCAUUUUAAAUAGUUAAUUCUGAGACAUGGAAUUAUUGGUCAAUGGAUACAAAUACCCACCUCCCAUGGUUGUGUUCAUUUUAUUGAUGUACACUAAUGAGAAUAUAAUAUUUAUUAGUCUUCCUCAUUGGAAUUCUACAUUGGAAACACAAGGCACCUGCCUUAGAGAGCUCUUAGAGGGAUUAUCCGCAGCCUGAAGAAAGAAGGUUACAACUGAGGAAGAACUUCUGAACAGGGAAGAGUGGAAGAAAAGACUGCAGUACGUAGAGCAUCAAGGGAAGCUGUGGAAAUAUAUUUUCUUACUCCAGAAGCAGACCCAGAAUGGCAUCCUUCUCUGAGACCCAGACCCCAGCCCCUUUUCAUGGAAGACCAGCACAAAGGAGGAAGUAGGUUAGGGAAUGGUAAGGCUCCAUGUGAUGGGACUAAUGUGGAGAGGCCUGGGGCCUUUCCCUGAGGACUGGAUGGCUGGAGUUUGGGAGCCUGAGUUGACAGAGGAGGCUAAGCCCGGGCAGCUACUUUGUUCCAGAAAUCUAAGGUCCCUGGAGGGAGGCUCUGCUUUGGGAGGGGGAAGGGAGCUAACAUUGCAGAGCACCAACUGUGAACCAGGUACAAUGGCAGAGCCUUUCCAUACCUGUACUCACAACUAGCGGGUGAGGAGUCAAGGCAAAUAGGUGUCUCAUAGCUCCCCAUAUCUCGGCAGUCGACCACCUCCUCCUUUGAUUCUCUGAUGUCACUGCCAGUUCUCCUCCUAUUGCUCUGACCUGUCUUUCUCUGUGUCCUUUGCAAACUCAUUCUCAACUCCUUAGACUCAGUCAAGUCCCCCAGUUACACACUUCCAUGGUACUAUAUAUCAUGUCUUAAAACAACUGAAGUUUAUUCUCUUACACUUCUGGAGAUCAGAGGUUCAACAUCCAUUUUAUUAUACCAAAAUCAAAGUGUUGGCAGGGGUAUGCUCUUUCUGGAGGCUCUAGAGGAGAAUCUGUUCCUUGUCUCUUUCAGCUUCUAGUGGCUACUAGCAUUCCUUUGCUUGUGGCCCCAUCACUGCAGUUUCUGCCUCUGUCUUCACAUCACCUUCUACUCUUUGAUAUAUGUAUAAUUUCUCUCUCUCUCUCUCUUUCAUAAGGACACUUGUGUUGGCAUUUAGGGCCCACCUGGAUAAUCCAGAAUAAUCUCCCCAUCUCAAGAUUCUUAAUCACAUCCUCAAAGAUGAACCCAUUUUCCAGUUAAGGUAACAUUCACAGGUUCUGGGGAUUAGAACAUGGACAUAUCUUUAGAAGCUAUCAGACUACCAAAAUAAGCAAAGACAUUUUAAAAUUUACCAUUUAUUAAGUACCAUAUGCCAGACACCUACAUACAUUUUUCUCACCUCAAUUAAGUUUUACAAUAACCCUGAAAUGUAGGUAUUAAUGCCUGUAUUCUAUAGACGAGGAAACUGAGGCUCAGGGAGAUUGAGUCACGUGCCCAAUGUCACGUAGCUGGUAAAUGACAGAACUAGGAUUUGAAACCAGAUGAGCUGGGCUCCAAAGCCAACAUGCUUUUUGCCUCACCAACAGCCUCUGAGCCUACUCCAGGCCCUGGC
rnacentral:lncRNA from 1 species